ACGGAAUAGAUACCCAGGUAGUCCCAGCCGUAAACGAUGCUCGCUAGGUGUCAGGCAUGGCGCGACCGUGUCUGGUGCCGCAGGGAAGCCGUGAAGCGAGCCACCUGGGAAGUACGGCCGCAAGGCUGAAACUUAAAGGAAUUGGCGGGGGAGCACAACAACGGGUGGAGCCUGCGGUUUAAUUGGACUCAACGCCGGACAACUCACCGGGGGCGACAGCAAUAUGUAGGCCAAGCUGAAGACUUUGCCUGAAUCGCUGAGAGGAGGUGCAUGGCCGUCGCCAGUUCGUACUGUGAAGCAUCCUGUUAAGUCAGGCAACGAGCGAGACCCGUGCCCACUGUUACCAGCAUAUUCUCCGGAAUGAUGGGUACUCUGUGGGGACCGCCUAUGUUAAAUAGGAGGAAGGUGCGGGCCACGGUAGGUCAGUAUGCCCCGAAUCUCCGGGCUACACGCGGGCUACAAUGGAUGGGACAAUGGGUCCCUACCCCGAAACGGGGUUGGUAAUCUCACAAACCCAUUCGUAGUUCGGAUCGAGGGCUGUAACUC
rnacentral:rRNA from 1 species